rnacentral:rRNA from 1 species
GUGCCAGCAGCCGCGGUAACACGGGGGGAGCAAGCGUUGUUCGGAAUCACUGGGCGUAAAGGGCGUGUAGGCGGCCCGGUAAGUGGGAUGUGAAAUGCCCCGGCUCACCCGGGGACCGGCAUCCCAAACUGCCAGGCUUGAGUAUGGGAGAGGAUGAGGGAAUUCCUGGUGUAGCGGUGAAAUGCGUAGAUAUCAGGAGGAACACCGGUGGCGAAGGCGCUCAUCUGGCCCAAUACUGACGCUGAUGCGCGAAAGCUAGGGGAGCAAACGGGAUUAGAUACCCUCGUAGUCC